AUUGAACGCUGGCGGCAGGCCUAACACAUGCAAGUCGAGCGAGCGGCGGCCGGGUGAGUAAUGUAUGGGAAUCUGCCUGAUGGAGGGGGAUAACUACUGGAACCGGUAGCUAAUACCGCAUACCAUCAGAUGAACCCAGAUGGGAUUAGCUCGUAGGUGAGGUAAUGGCUUACCUAGGCGACGAUCCCUAGCUGGUCUGAGAGGAUGAUCAGCCACACUGGGACUGAGACACGGCCCAGACUCCUACGGGAGGCAGCAGUGGGGAAUAUUGCACAAUGGGCGCAAGCCUGAUGCAGCCAUGCCGCGUGUAGGAAGAAGGCCUUCGGGUUGUAAAGUACUUUCAGCCGGGAGGCGUUACCGACAGAAGAAGCACCGGCUAACUCCGUGCCAGCAGCCGCGGUAAUAC
rnacentral:rRNA from 1 species